AUGAAAGCUCUAUUCUGGAAUAUUAGAGGUUUUGGCGCUAGGGGGCGUCAAGACCAAAUUAGGGAUGUUGUCCGAGGCGAAAACAUUGACAUUUUAGGCCUUGUGGAAACCUUUAAAGAUUCUUUCUCCCUUAAUGAACUCUCUGCGAUUGCGGGCAUGGAUAGAUUCGAUUGGCACUUUCUUCCUUCUUCUGGGCACUCGGGAGGCAUUCUUAUUGGUUGCAAACGGGAUAUAUUUGAUUUUGUUGCUUUUCACCAUGGCAUUUUCUGGGCAAGUAAUGUAGUACACCAUCGGCAUCUUAACACCUUGUGGGAAUUUAUGGUGGUUUGUGGCCCUGCAGAUCAUUCACUUACCUCUCUGUUCCUUGACGAGUUAUCUACUAAGAUUGGGUCCUGCACGAUUCCUAUUGUUAUUGGAGGAGACUUUAACCUCCCACGUACUCCCUCUGACAAAAAUAAUCACAACUUCUCUUGA
rnacentral:rRNA from 1 species